rnacentral:rRNA from 1 species
UACGUAGGGACCAAGCGUUGUUCGGAUUUACUGGGCGUAAAGGGCGCGUAGGCGGCUUGUCAAGUCACUUGUGAAAUCUCUGGGCUUAACCCAGAACGGCCAAGUGAAACUGACAUGCUAGAGUGCAGAAGGGGCAAUCGGAAUUCUUGGUGUAGCCGGUGGAAUGCGUAGAGAUCCGGAGGAAGACCGGUGGCGAAGGCGGCCUGCUGGGCAGUUACUGACACUGAGGCGCGACAGCGUGGGAGCAACA